rnacentral:rRNA from 1 species
AUGCCAGCCGAAGCCGCCGACCAACUAAUCUCAUCCAUGGGCAAAUACGGCCUCUGUCUCGGCCUCAUGGACCCCGUCACCAACAUCAUCCUCAACACCAUCGCCCACCUCCCGCAGGACUUCCGGGCAAACCCACCGCUUCCGCAUGACUGUAAGAGGAGGAGAAGGUCCAAGUGGUUGGCUGGUGCGGCGCGGCCAAGGGAUAGUUGGUCCAGCCACAUUGGGCCAACAUGCCGCAGGGAUACCUGGCCCAGAGAUGCCGCACCAUCCUACCUGGCUCUCCACAGGUUCAUGGUGAGAUACUUUGAAUGCCUCAGUGAAGAACAGGCCACCCGGUACCUCCACUGGGCGGGCGCUGACCUGGCCCUGGCCGUCCUGCUCGUCGAGCACGAUCUAUACGCUGCUGAGCUUCAGCUCCCUGACCCCGCCACUGAAAGGACGCAAGCCGCCCUCAUGUGCGCCGCAACCUGUGCAUCGCACCCAGCGCCCGACGCCCUGGUGCGGCUCCACACGACGCCAGUUCCACUAGAGCGGCUCCACGCCGCCGCCCCGUUUCUCAGGCCAGGAGGGCCAAAGCUCACUGUCGACGACGUCAACACCCUCGUGGAUCUACUGCGGUACCAGUGCAGUGCCCUCCUUGACCUCCAGGUGAAACUGCUGCCAGGAGGAAGAGAGGCCAUCGUGUACUGUCGGAACCUCAAGCCCGAUGAAGGGAAGCUUGAGAUUGCAAUAGCACGAGCUCUGUGGAUGGAUUCGAUGUUGUAA